GCAGAAUACGGAAGUAGCUGUGUGGACAUUUUGUAUUAGCAGUGAGGAAAUUCGGAAACACAAAAAGCAAAUGCAAGGUCUGCAAUGAAAAUCGACCGAUACCCGGGGGUCGGGCUAGUGGUUUUCUGCAAGAGGGUCGCCCCGUUGGCCAGUAAAAAAAGAUAAUAUUAUUUAUACACGUGCAAUACAUGCAAAGCACACCUGAGUUCAGAUACUGAAAGUGAACAUCAGUGGAACUUUGAUGAUCUAGGCCGCUCUAUUUUUGCAGCAACACCAGCAGGCGUCGGACAUUCAUAAAGUUGAAAGAACAAACCUAUGACUUGAACACACAAUUUGUGAUCUGAAUAUAGUUCACAAAUUUAAGGAAAGCAACUAUCAAAGACAUCCAGAUUGAUGGUAUACAUGAAGUAUGAAUGAAAGACUUUUCAGAAGAACAAGCACAAUCCCGAUUCAUUCUUGCCAUUGUCUGCUCCAGACGGCGACAUUUAGGACCUGACUUACUUUUCAGAAAAAGAAGAUGAAUCGAUUUUUGAUAGUUGAUCUUAAAAAGAUAACAUUUUCAGGGGUCGUGGAUUGAAUGACAUUUUCUUGCAAUCUCCCAUGCAGAGUUGUCGUUCGUUCCUCUCUCAGACACCUCUGCAAUGGGCUCACGUCAAGAUAUUUGACAUAACGUAUAAAACUUGAUAUUUGAAGAAUUGUUUCAAUUCAAAUCAAUAGUUCUGGAUUGAUUUAGUAAAUAUUUAUCUCAAAAUUCAGACAUAAACAUAGAAAUUGAAUUGUAAUGAAUUAAAACAAACGCACUAUUUCUCGUGUUUAAAACUGUGUAUACGCGAGCCAAUGACAGAGGUGAAUGUAUGAGCCGAUGGUAGAGAGUGAUUUUCUUGAUGGGCAACUAGUUGCAAGUAUUUGGAUGUCUAUUCUCAAGUUACUGCAAACCUUAAAUUAACUUCUUGAUUAUUAGUUAAAUGUGAGACCGUUUCUUACUUGAAGUAAUCAUUUUUUGAAUUGAGCUAUGUAAUCUCUGAUUACUUAUGUUUAUGAGUACUGUUCAGCUUUAAGGCAAAAGGAUCUUUUAUGAACAUUGCAUUCGUCAUGGUGAAUUUCUAUACAUUAAGUAACAGUCAUAGUUUUCGUCUUUUUUAAUUAGCGAUCUCAUUUUAAAUGUGAGAAAUAAUUAUUAAACUGAAAUGUUUAUUUAUGUUGUUUGAUUUUUAUUUUUUUGAAAAU